AGUGAACGCUGGCGGCAUGCCUAACACAUGCAAGUCGAACGGCAGCACAGUAAGUGCUUGCUCUUACGGGUGGCGAGUGGCGGACGGGAGAGGUAUACAUCGUAAUCUACUUUUUCGUGGGGGAUAACGUAGGGGAACCUAAGCUAAGACCGGAUACUACCUACGGUGGAAAGCAGGAGAGCUUCGUAGCUUUCGGGUGUGAAUGCGCCGUAGUCGGAUUAGAGAGUCGGCGGGGUAAAGGACGACGAAGGCGACGAUCCGUAGCUGGUCUGAGAGGAUGAUCGGCGACACUGGAACUGAGACAGGGACCAGACUCCUACGGGAGGCAGCAGAGGGGAAUGUUAGGCAAUGGGGGGAAGCAUGAUCCAGCCAGACCGCGUGUGUGAAGGAGGCCUUCGGGUUGUAAAGCCCUUUUGUUGGGAAUGAAAAGCAGCCGGUUAAGACCACGCGGUUCUGACGGUACCCAGAGAAUAAGCACCGGCUAACUUCGUG
rnacentral:rRNA from 1 species